CAGCUUGUACAGGAUAGGUAGGAGCCUGAGAAGCCGGAGCGCUAGCUUCGGUGGAGGCGUCGGUGGGAUACUACCCUGGUUGUAUUGAAAUUCUAACCCACAGCCCUGAUCGGGCUGGGAGACAGUGUCAGGUGGGCAGUUUGACUGGGGCGGUCGCCUCCUAAAGAGUAACGGAGGCGCCCAAAGGUUCCCUCAGAAUGGUUGGAAAUCAUUCGUAGAGUGUAAAGGCACAAGGGAGCUUGACUGCGAGA
rnacentral:rRNA from 1 species